UACGUAGGAUGCUAGCGUUGUCCGGAUUUACUGGGCGUAAAGCGCGCGCAGGCGGCACUGUAAGUAAGGUGUGAAAUCUCCCUGCUCAACGGGGAGGGUGCACUUUAGACUGCAGAGCUAGAGGACGGUAGAGGGGGGUGGAAUUGCUGGUGUAGCGGUGAAAUGCGUAGAGAUCAGCAGGAACACCCGUGGCGAAGGCGGCCCCCUGGGCCGAACCUGACGCUGAGGCGCGAAGGCUAGGGGAGCCGAACGGG
rnacentral:rRNA from 1 species